rnacentral:lncRNA from 1 species
CGGGCUUCUGUUCCCAGGGCCUCCCUCCAGGGCCCACGUGAGGGGACCUGGCCUAUGGGAGAAGGCCAAGCAGAGGUGCUCCUGGGAAGCAGCCGAGGGUCUCGGGACAGUGGGCGGGACUAAGGGGGCCACCUGCAGACACACCCUGGCUUCGGGACCGUCUUCCUUCUCUUCCCCCUCGGGGCCUAGAGGAGGCCACGCGCGGGGUCUCCGAGCUCUAGGGUCCGGAGCUCUAGGGUCCUUUUAUGUAGCAAAGUCAGGCCUGGGAACAGAACUUCAUGUGCUUGUAAAAAGUCUCAGGUGCGUCCUCGUUGUUUUAGAGACUUGGAGAGGAAUGGGGGCGGGGGGAACAAAAUCCGAGGACAGUCGAGCCAAGAAAAGUCGGGGCUUCUAGGAUGCCAACCACGCCAAACAGAUCAAAACCAGGACUGGAGGACUGAAGAUGAAGCCGGCAAAAAGUCACCAGCCACGGCUCUUGUAAGGUAUGCUUCACCUCUCCUGCUAAGUCUUCAUCCCUGUCUAUGAGGACAAAGAAGUUACGGGUUAAAUUGGCGAUGGGCCAGGCGCUCCUUGAGGAUGCUCUAAAGUUGGUGAUAGAAAAUGGGAGAACUGAAGACAACCACUUUAUAAAACCCUUGCCUGCUUGAAUUUGUGGUGAUGAACCGGCCCCUGGGAUUUGCUGCUCAGAACCUGAGUUCACUGAGACAUCAGGAGCAAGCACUGGAGGCCGGGUGCUGCUGGAUCCUGAUGGGAGCCAUGCAGGACUUGACCAUGGCCUGCACACACUUCUUCCCAGGAGAAGGGGAAUGAGGAAGGACUGGCCCCUGGGAUUUGCUGCUCAGUUCACUGAGACAUCAGGAGCAAGCACUGGAGGCCGGUGCUGCUGGACCCAGAUGGGAGCCAUGCAGGACUUGACCAUGGCCUGCAUACACUUCUUCCCAGGAGAAGGGGAAUGAGGAAGAACUGGACGAUGAAUUUUAACCUCCACACCACAAGCACUGGGGUAGAAGACUGCUGCUGGGUGAAGAAGAGACUAGACUUGAUCAUUGAGCAGCCACUCACUGAUAUCUUCAGUGCUGCAUGAGGAAGGACUGGCCCCUGGGAUUUGCUGCUCAGGACCUGAGUUCACUGAGACAUCAGGAGCAAGCACUGGAGGCUGGGUGCUGCUGGACCCAGAUGGGAGCCAUGCAGGACUUGACCAUGGCCUGCACACACUUCUUCCCAGGAGAAGGGGAAUGAGGAAGAACUAGAUCCUAAGAGCAGAAGACAAUCAUAUGUCCUGAGAACCCAUUGGAGGUUGAACAGCGCUGGGUGGAUGGAGAAAGGCAGAAAUGCAGAAUUUCGUCAUUGCCUGGAUGCUGACUUUAUCCAAAGAGAAGAUGCAUGAGGAGUGUACAUGCCUCAGAACUGGAUGCUGAGACAUGCCCCCGCGAUCCCAAGACCACCAGGUACCGUGAGCAAUCACUGGAGCUGGAACACUGCUGCCUGAGGAAGAGAAGAAGUGCAGGCUUGUCAUUGUCUAUGCUGUUACUUGUGGUUCCCGGGUCUUCAGAGAGGAUGCACAAGAACGGGAGAACCGGCCCCUGGGAUUUGCUGCUCAGGACCCGAGUUCACUGAGACAUCAGGAGCAAGCACUGGAGGCCGGUGCUGCUGGAUCCAGAUGGGAGCCAUGCAGGACUUGACCAUGGCCUGCACACACUUCUUCCCAGGAGAAGGGGAAUGAGGAAGAACUGGACCAGAAGAUUUAACUUCCAUACCACAAGCACUGGGGUAGAAGACUGCUGCUGGGUGAAGAAGAGACUAGACUUGAUCAUUGAGCAGCCACUCACUGAUAUCUUCAGUGCUGCAUGAGGAAGCAGAGUUUAUUCUUCUGGAUUUGGUGGUGGAUUCUGGUGAAGAUACAGAUGGAUGCUCUGGCUGAGUCGCUACCUUGAAAUGAAAAUGGGAGGUAAACUCUCCCAUAGAUGAAUCUUCUUCAUUUUGAAGGACUGGCCCCUGGGAUUUUCUGCUCAGGACCCGAGUUCACUGAGACAUCAGGAGCAAGCACUGGAGGCCGGUGCUGCUGGACCCAGAUGGGCGCCAUGCAGGACUUGACCAUGGCCUGCACACACUUCUUCCCAGGAGAAGGGGAAUGAGGAAAGUGGGGGGCCUCAAAGCUUCCUUUCCUUUCUGUUUGUCUUGCUAUGUUUUUAUAUUCCUUUUUAUCCAUUUAAUUAUUUAGUACAAAAUCAGGUCCAGUCUCCUUAGAUAUGGCAUUGAUAUAAAGUGUAAAAUGGAAGCUAAAUUCUAGGAGUACAGCAUUGCAUGCUUCUGACAGAGACAAGGAAGGCUAGAAUCACACAGUUAGUGGACACUGCAACUAUAUUGACAUUUUUUUUUUUUUAGACUGUGAAGGUGGGGACAGAUUGCUGCACUCAGAACACCUUCCCUGCUCUGGGGAAACAAACACUGUCAUCAUGGGGAAAAUGUUUCCUGUAGACCCACACAAGCACACACCCCUCCUCCUACAUCCAGCUUCUCCUCAGCCAUUUUGAAGCAGGGAAGAUCAGGGGGAUUCAUGAAUGGCGAAAUUUGGCCUUUUUUAGUGUAUUUCUCUCCUUCUGUAGGCAGACUGGCAUCACCUGACCCUUCAGAGUAUUAACUCAGACCCUGGUGACUGAGGUCCAGUACCAAGUGCUCAGCUGGGCUGCGGUGCAGGGACAGGAAGCAGAAGGGCAGAUUCAACCCCCCUCAGCUGGCCAUGCUAAUCUACUAGCUGGUGUCCUAGGGCAGCAAGGCGCCUCCCUCUCCAGGAUCUGAUGAGAAAACACUGCAGUUCCAGUUUCUUUCGGGGCUUGAAGAGAAGUCAAGGAAGCCCUGCAAGGCACUCACAGCUGAUCAUGCUUUCUGUAAUCGCCCUCCAUCUUCCUUCAUUGCUAGGAAUCAUUGGAAGGACAACAGCGGAGCUGUGAGUUUUGAAACCGCGUCCUCAUGGGGGCAGUAGAGGUCCACACAAGAGCUUAACUGGCCCCUGGGAUUUGCUGCUCAGAACCUGAGUUCACUGAGACAUCAGGAGCAAGUACUGGAGGCCGGUGCUGCUGGACCCAGAUGGGAGCCAUGCGGGACUUGACCAUGGCCUGCACACACUUCUUCCCAGGAGAAGGGGAGUGAGGAAGAACCGGCCCCUGGGAUUUGCUGCUCAGGACCCGAGUUCACUGAGACAUCAGGAGCAAGCACUGGAGGCCGGGUGCUGCUGGACCCAGAUGGGAGCCAUGCAGGACUUGACCAUGGCCUGCACACACUUCUUCCCAGGAGAAGGGGAAUGAGGAAGAAAGGCUCAUGGCGUCUAUGUCGUAAAUGAGCUGUGGAUUUGCUAUGCCCCUUCUCUUCAGCAACCCUUAUUUUUCUUGCCUGUACAUCUCUACUGUGGGAAUCACAGGGAAGCUGCUGCAGCACAACUUGAAAUAGAAAGCUGGAUGGUAUGAAUUUAGGACAAGAACAUGAGAAGAAGGGCUCCAGAGAGGAUUCAUUAAGAGCAUUUUCUGCUCUUCCAGAAGCAUCCGAGUUUGGUGUGGGCACCCAAGUCAUUAGGCUCAGAGCUGCUUGGGCCCUGGCCAUUAGGCUUCUGGAAAAGGAUUGGGCAUUACUUUUGUUCUACAACCUGAGGAGAGAACUGAACCCUACCUGGACAUCGGUGCAGAACUAGAGGGUGACAUGGACCAGCAGCAAUGAGGCUAUUGAAUACCAUAGGCUAUUGAAUACCUGUAGGUGCUUGUGUAUCCCGGCAGUGUGCCUGCCAAGGUCCAAGGACAAUCUAGAGGUGGUGUUUAUGUCCUUCAAAGAGGGUGCUGGAGAUGGAGCAGAGGUACCCAGGCGUACAUGUAAUCCCAGUACCACAAAGGGUGGUUGUCAACCAGAGGACACUGCAUAAAUUCAUACGUAAAGAAAUGAGUAAAAAGCACUUGGAUUUGUGAUUCACGGGCUUGCUUUCUACUUUUCUCUUCACCUACUGGGCAAAUAUCACUGAGAACAUCAAGCCUGAGCACACAGGCUUCAG